UACGAAGGGGGCUAGCGUUGCUCGGAAUCACUGGGCGUAAAGCGCACGUAGGCGGACUCUUAAGUCGGUGGUGAAAUCCUGGAGCUCAACUCCAGAACUGCCUCCGAUACUGGGAGCCUUCGAGUCCGGGAGAGGUGAGUGGAACUGCGAGUGUAGAGGUGAAAUUCGUAGAUAUUGGGAAGAACACCGGUGGCGAAGGCGGCGAGCUGGGCCAUGACUGACGCUGAGGCGCGACAGCGUGGGGAGCAAACAGG
rnacentral:rRNA from 1 species